GUCCACGCCCUAAACGAUGCAGACUAGCCGUCUCGAGUAUCGACCCUCGGGGUGGCGUAGCUAACGCGUUAAGUCUGCCGCCUGGGAAGUACGGCCGCAAGGCUAAAACUCAAAGGAAUAGACGGGGACUCGCACAAGCGGUGGAGCAUGUGGUUUAAUUCGACGGUAAACGAGACACCUCACCAGGGUUUGACAUGCACUUGAAAACCAGCCGAAAGGCAGGACCUCUUUUACGAGACAAGUGCACAGGUGCUGCAUGGUUGCCGU
rnacentral:rRNA from 1 species